rnacentral:rRNA from 1 species
UGGGGAAUAUUGCACAAUGGGCGCAAGCCUGAUGCAGCCAUGCCGCGUGUAUGAAGAAGGCCUUCGGGUUGUAAAGUACUUUCAGCGGGGAGGAAGGGAGUAAAGUUAAUACCUUUGCUCAUUGACGUUACCCGCAGAAGAAGCACCGGCUAACUCCGUGCCAGCAGCCGCGGUAAUACGGAGGGUGCAAGCGUUAAUCGGAAUUACUGGGCGUAAAGCGCACGCAGGCGGUUUGUUAAGUCAGAUGUGAAAUCCCCGGGCUCAACCUGGGAACUGCAUCUGAUACUGGCAAGCGUGAGUCUCGUAGAGGGGGGUAGAAUUCCAGGUGUAGCGGUGAAAUGCGUAGAGAUCUGGAGGAAUACCGGUGGCGAAGGCGGCCCCCUGGACGAAGACUGACGCUCAGGUGCGAAAGAGUGGGGAGCAAACAGG